rnacentral:antisense_RNA from 1 species
CUUGAUGGUGGCUGUGCGUGGGGCGCCCCCGGGCGCGCCGAUUCCUUAACUCGUCGGUCUGCUAACCCGCGCACAGCUGCCACCCAC